CGCGUGGGCGAUUUUUGUGAUGAGGUGAUGAAUUAAAAUUAGAGGUGGAUUACUUUCGGUCUCUUGGAGGAUUUUCGAGAGAAUUUUUCAAUGCUUUUGGAAUUCUGAUGAGUGUAUUUUUGAGACCUGACGAAUUUCCACAAGAUUGAAAUUAUAGCCGUAC